rnacentral:rRNA from 1 species
GAUGAACGCUGGCGGCGUGCCUAAUACAUGCAAGUCGAGCGAAUGGAUUAAGAGCUUGCUCUUAUGAAGUUAGCGGCGGACGGGUGAGUAACACGUGGGUAACCUGCCCAUAAGACUGGGAUAACUCCGGGAAACCGGGGCUAAUACCGGAUAACAUUUUGAACCGCAUGGUUCGAAAUUGAAAGGCGGCUUCGGCUGUCACUUAUGGAUGGACCCGCGUCGCAUUAGCUAGUUGGUGAGGUAACGGCUCACCAAGGCAACGAUGCGUAGCCGACCUGGGAGGGUGAUCGGCCACACUGGGACUGAGACACGGCCCAGACUCCUGCGGGAGGCAGCAGUAGGGAAUCUUCCGCAAUGGACGAAAGUCUGACGGAGCAACGCCGCGUGAGUGAUGAAGGCUUUCGGGCCGUAAAACUCUGUUGUUAGGGAAGAACAAGUGCUAGUUGAAUAAGCUGGCACCUUGACGGUACCUAACCAGAAAGCCACGGCUAACUACGUGCCAGCCGCCGCUGUAA